rnacentral:siRNA from 1 species
UGAGCCAAGGAUGACUUGC